GACAUUAUGAAGAUGCUGGUGUACAAUGUUCAGAGAAAGAUUCGACAAUACCAGAGAAAAUGGGCAGUCCAUUGGCAAACUUUUCCUUGGAGGAAUAUGAUAAUCCUUAAAUUAUCAGUUUUGUUACGAUUGUUUACAUUCAUUAUAGCUAUUUAAAGCUGUA